AUAUAUUGCUUGAUAAACAUCAAAUUCUUUUUCUUCUGCCCUACCUUAGCAUCAAUAGUGUGACUAUAUCAUAUAUUAUUGAAAAUGUUUUGAUAUACAAUAUUUUGUAGGACACUAUUGUCUAUAUGUUUUGUGUCUACUUUAAGAAUUCUAAAGUCAUGUAGGUGUAGUGACUCUUUGAUAGUGAAGUGUACAAUUAUCCAUGAGAGAUCAUCUUGCAUCUGUUGGUUGGUGUGAGACUUAUUUUAUGAAUAAGAAUCUGUUGAUUAUUUGAUCUCGGUUUGGAUUUCUGCUUUAGUAAUCAUGUUGUCUAGGCUGGUUAUUAGUAAAAUUGUUCCAUUGCAAAUUUCUUUCAUUGAUUUAAAUUUCUUAAUAACAUGACUGGAACAUCUAUUUUGAGAUCAAGUUUGUGAUUUGGAAUCCCUGAAAAUUUUAACGUAUUUAAAAAUCUGUGGAAUAUAGAAUAUGCUAAUUUGUAAUUUCUUCUUUGUCGUUACCGAUACUAUCAGAACUCAAAUAUUUCUUUUGCUCACCGUCUAAGAAAAUUAACAUAUAGUUAUUCACUUUACCAACCGUUUCAUUCCUUAUUCUUUGGAGUAAACAUUUCUUUUUCGAUGAGAUAAU
rnacentral:lncRNA from 1 species